GAUGAAGAACGCAGCGAAAUGCGAUAAGUAAUGCGAAUUGCAGAAUUUCCGUGAAUCAUCGAAUCUUUGAACGCACAUUGCGCCCCUCGGUAUUCCGACGGGCAUGCCUGUCCGAGCGUCGUUUACACGCAUCGAGUCUCACAGUUCUCGGUCUUGGGCGCCGUCCCCGCCUCGCGCGGGACGGGCCUCGAACCCCUCGGCGGCCCCGCGAGCCCGCCGGAGCGUCUUCGAAAAGCAACCGCUCCGCGCGCGGCCCCGGGUCCUGCCGGAACCCCACCAGAGUUUGACCUCGGAUCAGGUAGGGCUACCCGCUGAACUUAAGCAUAUCAAUAAGCGGAGGA
rnacentral:misc_RNA from 1 species